UGGGGCGAGGCUUGCGGAAGCCCGAGCCGCCGGUGGGGCGGACCGGGGAGCGCCGAUGCGCCGCCAUUGGGUUAAGGCGGGCCGGCCGCCAUUUUGGAUGCCGAGUCGCCUCGCUGCGGGAAGCAUUUUCAGGUUUUACCUUGGCCUAACAUCAGAAGAACCUACCAGUGAAUGUGUGUACAAGAGAACACAUAAGUACUCAAGGAAAUGAUAUCAUCUGAAAUGUAAAAAUGAAUAAAGAUUUUCACAAUAUCAACUACGCUAUUUCUCAUGUCUAGACUCUUCUCCCAGCACCCAUAGUUUCAUCUCUUCCACAUUCCAUAUUGAGCACAGUUUAGCAGAAGCUGAGAGCAGUUGCCCUGCAGAAGGACACGAUCAGCACAAUGCUGCUGGCGAGGAAGAAGCAGCCUUCAUCUAUCUCCAGCUGAGUUCAGAAGGCUGUUGUUACUGUUGUUGUAUUACCAUUACUUAUGCUUAUAUUUGAAAAGCUGUAUUUUCUGGGGGAAAAAAAAAAAAAAAAGGAAUGCAUG